GGGUGUUGGUUGUAAUUGUGUGUUCGCAUCGCCGCAUUGUAGUAAUAUUUUAGUUGCACGAUUUUGGCCAUUUGCAGUGACAGAUUGCUAACACAAAUUGACAGCGUGCAUGCCACGAGAAUUAUACAACGUUAAUUUAGUGAGCGUCAUAAAUCAAAGCUGUACAUAUCUGCUGUAGAUAAAAUUUGAAUUUUCUACGAAAUUUACAAAAUUUCGGCAUAAAAGUAAAAGUGUAAACGUUKCUGGACGCCAACUUGGUAGCUAACGGGAAAACACCUCUUAACCAUAACUGCCAUAAAUUCAAAAUUCAAAAUAUUUAAGUUCGAGGAUUUGCCGUUAAAACCCAAGAUGUCCCUUUUCGGCGGCAACAGUCACUCCAUUUCCGAGGAAGAGAU